CAUCACCAGCACUGCGGCUCAAGGGGCUGGUAGGCUCUCCUGCACCCCGCGUGCUCCUCCGCCUUCUCUGUGUCCCCCGGCUUUUCCAGGAGGAAGAUGGGGUGCCCAUCGUGAAUGGGGCGCGCUGGGCCGCCUGGCCGGGCGGUCACGUGUCCCCCCUCCCCCGCCACUGCGGCGGGAGUUCCAAUCAGAGCUCGCCAGGGGGCUCCUCCCGGGCAGGAACCACCCGGCUCGGCGGCGGAGGGUGGGCCGCCGUCACCUGACCGCCCGCCCCCGCCCCCCGCGAGUAAGGGGCGGUGGUAGCGUCUGCUCGGUUACAAAUGGCCCCUCCCGCCCGGCUCGCCCGCUCGCUCGGGCUCGGCGCGGACCCGCCUGGGCGUGCUCCUCCCGCCGGCUCCAGGCGUCCCACCGCCCUGCCCGGCGCCAGCCCGCGGUCCCAGCCACUCCUGAGGGUGCGCCGGGCACCCAGCGCGUAGGCUCACCCUUGGUGGUCGCCACGGAAGUCUGGACCGCCGAGGCGUGUGGCUUGUCUACCGGCAGGUGUUCUUUUGAUCACAAUGGAUAGUGACUCUUCUCUUCUGCCUGAGAGUGGUUCAAAAUAGUGAAGGAGGGGUUUGGACUUCUCAAUUUGUGUCCAGAACAAGGAUGGAGAGGCUCAGCAGCACCAACAGGCACUGGUGGAUUCUCGACAGAACCACAAAGUGGAGUUGGCUACAGAUGAGUCUGUUCAUGGCCUCAGCUUCCCACCUAUUCCUGAGUCACCUUUUGCCCCUCAGACAGAGAUGGGAUAGCGCCAGGAUGUGGAAAAGCAUCAGUGGGGAAAAAACUUUGUUCUGGGAGGUGCAGUGAUCAUCAAAUUCUAUGAAGGCCCAUCAUUGGACAUACUAAAGCUGUGGAGAGCUGUUUUCCCAGAGAAAUACCAAUGCACAGCAGCAGCAGCACAGAGGCAUCUCUGCGCCCAUCGGCCUGCCCCAGAGACCUCCCCAGCAUGGUGUGGUGGGGCAGCUGGUGUUGUGAAUCAGGCCGUUGCCAAUCAGAGAACGGCUACUUCACAACACCAGGGCCGCACCACACUACAGGCAGCAUUCCGGCUCCAGAACCCGCAAGGGCGCCCUCUGGCGAGGCAGCCACACCCACCGCAGAGGACCGUCAGCUCCAGAACCCAGGCAGUUCUGGGCUGGCUGCUGCAGCUCCCCUGCAGACACUGGCCUCCUGAGGCUGCUGUUUAUCCCCCAACACAAAUGCUCUGCUUUUAAAGAAAAAGACACUCCUGGUAACAUUAGCUUCCUACAGAGAAAAUGAUGUGACCAGGCUUCCCACUGUGAAAAUGAAGUUAUGGGCCAUCAGGAGGGUUAAGCGCCACUCAGCUGAACAUUUCCUCCUAGGUGCCAAAACACCUAGGUGCGGAGCUGGGACUGUUGUUUUGAUACUUGGUGAUGGUAGCUUUGAAUAGGGCAAAGUAGAGGAAAGGGAAGACCUAGUAAUAGGACAGUGGCCUCCUGGAGAGAGGAAGGCUCUUUGUAGCCACAUAUAUAGGUAAUGCAUCUACUUCCUAGAUGAUCCCAGGGUCCCUGGAGAGCAAACACCUUUCUUGGCUGGGGAGAGUUCCACAGCUCUCCAUCAGCGCAUAUCCCAGUGACCUGAGUGCUGGAUAAGAACCAAGCACGGGAUUGUUCCUAGGGCACUGAUCUGCCAGAUACUCCAUCAAAGGUAAUACCUGCCAUUCAUUACCUGUGCUGACAGAUGGGCUUCCUUUCCCCAGGUCCUUACAGCCAUGGACCCAGCAGAGCUGGAAAACUAAUGGAGGUCUCUAGAGUUGGAGUAGUAUUUCAUGCCUAACUUAAAUCUUAUAUGUGACAUCACCAUUUUUCAGAGCCCAAGCAAGAGUUUUCAAGAUAGAGUGGCUGAGUUGGCUAGUAUCCUUUCCAAAACACUAAUAAAAAGGAGGAUGUUCCUCUCUCUAGCUUUUUAUAGGACAAAGAUCCAGAGCCACUCCGAUUAACUCAGGCCCAGUCUAUAGUCUGUUUGUAUAGGGAUCUUGCUGCUCUGAAAACCAGAGAGAGGGAUAAAAACAAGCACCAUGCAAACCGUGCAUAGCACCCAGGUUACAUAGAGCCUGAGUUAACCAGAGCCACCUGCAUCUGUAUCACCUUAGAAUUCUGGAAGGUGAGUCUACUUCUUUAAAGUUCUAUCCCUCACCCCAUCCCUAUAUUGUUAAUGGCAUCUCUGAAAUUUGUACUAAAUUAUGUUUAGGGACAAAUAUCUUCAAAGCAAAAUAGUCCCAGUUUUCAGAAUGGGCUUCUUGCCGUCUCCUUCAUCCAGUUACCAACUCACCUACCACCAACGGAGUCCAAGCCAGAGCCACUCACGGUGUGGUCCAUGGACAGCAGCUUCAGCAUGUUGGAAAAGUAGGAUCCCAAGGGCCACCAUGCACCUGCUCCACCAGAAUCUCCAGUGGCCAACUCGGAGAACAUAGCAAGACUAAACUCUACCAAAAAAAUGUUUUUAAAAAUUAGACGGGGGUGUGGUGGCACACACCUGUAGUUCCAUCAGCUACUCAGGCAGCUGAGGUGAGAGGACCUUUUGAGCCCAGGAGUUUGAGGCUGCAGUGAGCAGAGAUUGUGCCACUGUACUCCAGCUUGGGUAACAGAGCAAGCCCCUGUCUCAAAAAAAAAAAAAAGUCUCCAGUGGGGACAGCAAGCUGGGCAGGAACUCUGUUACAGGCACUCCAGGGGAUGCUUCAAAACCACUUCCACCCGCUUUUGGGUCUCCCCACAACCUCUCCAGCUUCCAUUUCAGCCUUAUCUCUUCCACACAUUAUAACCAGAAUGAUCUUUUCAAAAUGCACUCCUAAAUCAUGCAAAUGCCUCCCAUUCCUGGCCUUGUAACUGCUUAAUGGGUUAUCCUCACGCUAACUUCAGUGGGACCUGUGAAUGACAUCCACUCCCCUCCCCACCCCUCCUCCCUUUCCAUAAGAUCCCUCUGGCCCCUGCCGCAGGACCUUCAUUCAGCUCAGCCCUAUCUAGAAGGCUCCCAGCUGCCUCUAAACUCCCAUCACUGAUGCCUGACCGUCCUCCAGGUUUUAGACAGAGCUAACUCCCAUUACCCAGAAGGCCAGGUCAGGUAACAGCUCUUCUGUGCACUCAGCAAGCUGAAUUCCAUCCCUUCAGAGCAUUCAUCUCAUUUUGUCAUUACUCGUUCAUGAAUGGGAAUCUUUGCUGAAUCUGUGUCUUUCCCACUGGCCAUAAGCUCCUUGAGGGCAGGGUUAUUCAGCUUCAUUCACUGCUGUACCCUCCAGCCUAGUUCAGUGUCUGGCACUGAGUAGACACUGAAUAAAUCUGUUCAAUGAAUGGAGGAGCACAGCCCAAGCCCAGUGUCCUUCAAGGUGAGACCCUCUUGCUAUUUGUUGAAGCCCUGGGUCUUUGUUUCCUUUCAGUGGCAUCAUUAUUAAUAGUAGCAGGCAAUUACAGAGUAGAAACUGCCAGCCACUGCCCUGAGCCCUCCAUGUACAUUUAGCCAUGUACUUGGUGCCUCCAUUUCCUCCUCAUAAGCAGGCAGGUCAUGUAACCACCCUAUCAGGUAAGUACCAAGACCACACCAUCGAUAUUGUUGGUGAUUGGUGUCACUACUGUUUAAACCCAAGCAUUCUGGCCUCAGAGUCCAUGUGUUGAGCCACUGCCUCCUACUGCUGAGGAACCAACGUGAAGGGGACAAAGGUGAUGACGGAAGUCCAGGGCUGCUCCCAGGGACUGAGCAAAAAAGCCUUCUCCAUUCUCAGAGGCUUCCAGUCUGGUUUCUUAAACCAGGUAGACCAGGCAGUGUUCUCUCCCUUUGUGCAUUUGUAGAUUCUAACAUUGUUUAAAACACUUCAUAAUGGAACCUGAUUAAAAACCUAAUAAAAUAUAAAAUGGGGUCAAGUCCAGAGAGAGAAUGAGACAACCAUUUAAGAUCCAGAGGAUGCUCUACUUAAUUUUGGUAUUGAGCUGCUGAAUUCAUUUGAAGUUUGCACAGUGACCUUCAGAGGUCGAGACCACAAAGGCAAAUUGUGCUCCCCACCCACCUCACCCCACCCCUGUCCAGAACUGUUUCCUCAAGACUAGCCUAAGCGAGCACAACCUUGGGCUGCCUCCCGCGCAUGCUUAGAUCCAGCCAGAGCGCCACCGCUGGGCCACAGACCUCCAUUCACAUUGUGGCUUCUUUUCCAAAGUGUAUUCACCUCAUUGAGAACAGCCUCUCCCCUCCUGAACAUUCCAGACCUUCCACUUAGGCUGACUUAAUGCCACCUGGCCAGAAAAAAACAGUGUCCAUUCCCCCUUUCCUAAAACCUUGAUUUUGUGAUCAUUUGAAGCUCUGACUUUAGAAUCUCUGUAUUAUAACUUCCUUGGGAUCCCGCCUUUGCAGCUAGCCACAUUGCAAAUUAUAAGACACUCUCUGGAGGCCAGUUGUAGACAACCAAAAGCCCUGGUGAUGUAGGGAGCUCGCUAGACACACACUUUUAUACCCACCACCUUGUCUUAAGGUGGUUACCAUCUGCUGACCCCAGUCAGCUCUUCUGGGAAAAGCUGGGUUUGGGAAAGGAGUUCCCCAAAUGUAUUUAAUAGCAAAUGGAGCAAUGGUUCUCAAAGUGUGCUCCCUGGAGCAGCAGCGGCACCAGCAUCUCCUGGGAACUCAUUAGACAUGCACAUCCUCCAGCUGCACCCACCCCUGCUGAGUUAGCAGCUCUGGGGUAAGGCCAGUGCACUCAAGUUUGAGAACUACCAAAAUAAAGUAAAAGAUGGGGUAGAAAACCCCUCGAGUAUCAAACGUUAGAAGGCCACAAUAGUGGAGCGUCUGUGCCUACCAUUUGCAGAAAUGUGGCAAGUUUAGGGUGUUUACUAAUGCAUGUUGAAUAAUGAUUCUCUUAAAACUUUUGUGAAUUGUAAAAGUAAAUCCCUAGGGAUGCUGGGCAGUGAUAACCUGACUCUCCCAUUUUCACCUGCACACACAUACCCAGAACAUCCUCUUCUCCUUCAUAACAGGGAAGUUGGAAGGUAAAAGUUAUUUUCUACCAAUAUAAAGUCUUAGAUUUUUAUUUAUUAAAUUCUUAACACAGUAUAUGGCACAGUUACCUUUUAAAGGCUUUCCAUUUAUUUAAUCUGAGCCCACAACAACCCCAUUUAAGGAGAGGAACUAAAGCCAGAGAGAUUUAGGAGCCAGCCUGUACCUCAGGGAUGAGAGACAUUACUUGCUGGAGCAGAGGUCUGAGCUCAGCAAUGCUCCCAGACCCACACUUGCCCUGUGCUUUUGAUUUUCUACCUCCCUAAUGAACAAGUGGGGAUCAUAAAGUCAGCUGUGCCCAGCUUAGAGCACCUGUUUCUGUCUGAGCAAUGAAAAGCCAUUUGAUUGGCAGUCAACUUGGAGAAACUCUGACCUUAAAUGAUAGUGCCAUAAAGACCAAACACACUGGGCAGUCAUAUCGUUUCAACUUGACAAAAUUUGUCAUACUUUUUUCUCAAGGCGGCCUUCUGGUUUUUUUUGCUAGUGGCAGGGGUAGAUUUCCUUGUUUUACUGGUAAUUAUCACCUUUUACCUUAGACUUCAUAGGUGGUCUUUUAUGCAUUCCUCGUGAAAGCCAUAGCCAAAAGCCUUUUCAACCCCAAGCAUCUGUCUCUUGGUAGGUACUGGCUUCAGGCAAGUGGCUUCUGUCAUGAAGAAAAUAUAAUAAUUUGAGUGUCAUUGCUACAAGGCAAGUGUUCCUAUGUACUCCAUCACACCAACUGCAGUGAGACUAUCAGGAAAGCUUUGGGUACCCUCCCUGGGAAAACUGCACAUCACUCUGCUGAAAUUUCAGGAAAAGUUUACGGGUCUCAAGGACAGAGCUGAAGUCAAAAAAUUUCCCCUUCAUGUUAACUUUUAUGGAUUUUUAAGGGGAGGGGCAAAAAAAUUCAUUUCACCAUUCCCUUUGUCUUCUUAAAACUCAGAAGAAACCUCACACACCAAUGAGUUUGAAAUCGCUAUUUUAAAAGGCAUAGCAGAAUUUUGAUAGAAAAAUAGAGCAAAAUAAGCAGUAAAAUCUCAUCCCUAACAUUCUCCAGCUGCCUGACAUCCUGGUUCAGUUCCGGAGACUUUGCAUUGCUCCCUAGUUCCAGGGGGUGGCACAGGAGCCAAAAACGAGACCUGAGGCUGAGGCCCAACAGAAGAUGAAACUUGGGAGCAGCCUCAGCUCCAGGAAUCCUCACUUCCUGGCACAGCAGGUUUGGGUGCCGCAGAGCCCAGGGCUAGGCGCCUGCCAGCAGUCCAUCAGUCACAGUCUCAGAUGAGUGGCAUCAAGGUGGAGCCCACUGAAGUGAAAGGAGCUAUGAGGGACACCUGCAGCAGAAAUGUCUGCCCCCUGCCUUGUCCCACUGAGGCUCCAUCUCACAGUUGGAGAAGUGGAAGCAAAGGAACCUGUCCUAGACCACACAGCCUGGCCCUCUGUUUCCAGAGCCAGAUCUUUGUGCUCUGGAACAAAGACAGUGAUCCCAUUAACCCACUGGCACGCACUCUGUGCCAGGCACUUGGUCUGUGUCGUCUCAUUGCGGCACAGAGCAGCCCUGGGAAUGGAAGCAGUAUCAUUCCCAUUUUUCAGGUGAGGUACAGGCUCAGAAAGGUCAAGAAACUUGCUCACAGUCUCACAGCUGGUGAGUAGGUUGUCAGACUCCAAAGAUGUGUGCUGCUAACCCUGCCCAAAGGGACUUCAUCCUCCUCCCUCCUUCCUAGACAGUUCUCCCGACCACCGCCAACAGGCAACGUAGGUGUGAUUGCCUUCAAACGUUUUCUACCUGCCUUCAAGCUUGAAGCACUAGCGACUGAGGGAAGAGAGAACUGGAAGUGAAGGAAGAAAAAAGAGCUAUUGCCCUCCUGCGGUGAACCUCCAAGGUUGUUCCCUCAGGCCUGACUGGACUGGAAGAAGCAGGGUGUGGGUGUGUGUGGGUGUGUGUGUGUAAUUGACUUUGUGACCAUGAAACUGAGUUAAUACUCUUCUGUCUUUGCCUAUUUCUUCUUGUCCAUUGCCUAGAGGAAUACCCAUUAAUGUUUAAGAGGCAUGGAAUGAUAGAAAAUAACACUGUUCAAGGACCAAAAAUUUUAAAAUUGCUGACAUACAGCAUAGAAUGUGAAAGUCCCUGAUAAUCUUAUCCUUAGGGAUAACCACUUGCCAUUUUUUACAAUUUGAAUUUUUUUAUGAUUACAAAAGUCAGACACAUUUUAAAAUACUUUAAAACAAAAUAAAAAUAAAUGCUUCAUUGCUCAGGUUACCCUAGUACAUGCAAGGUCUGAGACCACAUCCAUCAAUGCAAUUUGCUGCAUGGAUUACCAGAUCUCCCCACCAUUGACCUCUUGAUUUUUUUUUUACUCUGAGAGCAAACAGAAUGGGCAAGGGCUGACCUGAAAUCCUUUUGAAACACAAGCUGGAUCCUAGGGCUUUGACCUCCACUGCUCACUGCCACACAGGAUCCAUCUCUGUGCCCCACUCCACCCCACCCCACUGGCCUUCCUGCUGCUGCUCACACAGGCCUACUCCUAAGGCUUCUGCAUACUCUGUUCCCUGCAGAGGCCUCUCUUCCUCUGAACAAAUGUGGGACCCAUCUCUGCCAAGGCUGGGAAGCAAACAGCCCCCACUUUGCCUUGCCAGCCUGUGUUUGCACCAUUCCUGUGGUGGCCUCUCCCAGCUGCUUUCACGUGGCAUUUGAGCUCUGGGAAGCUGGAAGUUUGUGGAGUCCAGUUCCCUCAUUUUGCAUAUAUGGACGAUAAAGCCCGCAGGCAAGGGCUCUGACAAAAGGAAAAAUGCCUUCCAUUUGGCAUUGUGAUGCAGAGGCUGUCACAGACAAGCCUGGGAAUUUGGGAUACAUCUUGCUGAGCCUAGAGACAGAAAAGAGCUUCCAGGCUGCCUUCCCUGAGCCCCAGGCCAGGCCCCUCCAGGACACACUUGCAUGGCACCCUGUUCUUCAAAACACUGCACACUAAUGACGAUGCAAAGGAUUAACUGACUUUUCCGUAUUCUUGUUUUCUACCAAGCGAUAAGCUUCAGAAGGACAAGGUAUGAGUCCAUUUUGCUUUUUGCCUUCCCCAGCACAUGGCACAAUGCCCAGCACAUAGUGUUUUGAGAGACGGCUGACUGGCUGUCUCAUACAAGGUCCUGCUCUGUUGGGCACAAGGGCUGCUUAACACAUUCCUGUGCUACAAAAGACGGGUAGUGCUCCUCUCCUCUAGGAGCCACCAAAUAAAUUCAGAUACGAAUGCCAAAAAGAGGGCAGCGCCAGCUUAGGGAGAGAGUGCCUUGAUAAGGCACUGUUUCUAUCCAUGGAGGCAGUGUGGAAUGAUAGGAAUGAUCCAGGACCUAGAGGAGAGAGCUUAAGUCUUAUUUGCAGCCAAAAGCCUUCAAACCUGAGCUAGCCAGAACUGUUGUGUCAGAAUUCUCACCCAUGACAAGCAGCCUGGAGGUAGGGAGUCCAGGGUUGAUGCAUUGACUUAAGGUGUCAUCAAAAGCUUAGACUACCCUUCUGCUGCACCACCCUUAUCACCUCGUGAUCACAAGAGGACUACUGUUCAAGUCAUCACUUCCACAUUCCAGAAGGAAGAAAGGAAAGGUAGAGGGGCCAGAAGUAUCUCCACCUUUUAUCAGGAGGCAUUAGCUUUCCCAGAAACUUCCAUGUCCACCCAGCAGACUUCCACUUACAUCUCACUAGACAGAACUCCUAUCACUUGGCCACCCCAGCAGUCAGGGAAGCUGGAAAGGUGAGCAUUCAGCUGUAGAGAGUGGAAACACCAGCAGCGAGGGAAGAACAGGUCAGUCAUCACUGUAGAGUUCCCUGCCCUGCAGCAACUGCCAAAACUAGGUAAAUUAUUUUUUACCAUAACAGUGUUUUUGUGGAUUUUCUUAUUACAAAAGCAAUGCCUAUACAUUGUUACUUUAGAAAAUAAAGAUUUUAAAUCUUCAACAAGCCCAUUACUCAGAAGUGACAACUGUUAUUCCUGGUUUAUUAGCUUUCUAGAUCUUUGUAUUUUUUUUUUUUUUUAACAUGGGUGGAACCACAAUAUGGGUUGCUUUGAAAUUAGCCUUUGCACUUGGCAUUGUGAAAAAUCUUUCCAAAUCAUUAAAUGUUCUCUGCAGAAUUA